rnacentral:tmRNA from 1 species
GGGGGCGAAAAGGGUUCGACGGGGGUAGGGAGAUAAGGAGUGCAUGCCGAGGUCCCACACCUCGUUAAACAGUGGGGAACCAAUAAGUGCCGACAACUAUGAGUACGCCCUGGCUGCCUAAUUGAUGCAGCCACGUCCUGUGGGGUUUGCCUGCAGGCCCCACAUGGGCGCCAGCGAUGCAGGCUGGUCCUUGCCGAUGCUUAUAAGGCAAGGAUGAGAUCCGAAUAAGCUAGCCUCCAGCGGAUCCUGCCUGUGGGAGCCUUGGAGGCGAAAGGAAAACACAGGCUAAGCAUGUAGGGCUCCUUACCGAACUGCCCUCGGACGCGGGUUCGAUUCCCGCCGCCUCCACCA